GCGUCGUUAGUCUAGUGGUAGGAUUUCGGCCUUCCAAGCCGACGACAGGGGUUCAAAUCCCCUACGACGCACCA
rnacentral:tRNA from 1 species